AUUGAACGCUGGCGGCAGGCUUAACACAUGCAAGUCGAGCGGGGUGAUGGUGCUUGCACUAUCACUUAGCGGCGGACGGGUGAGUAAUGCUUAGGAAUCUGCCUAUUAGUGGGGGACAACAUUUCGAAAGGAAUGCUAAUACCGCAUACGUCCUACGGGAGAAAGCAGGGGAUCUUCGGACCUUGCGCUAAUAGAUGAGCCUAAGUCGGAUUAGCUAGUUGGUGGGGUAAAGGCCUACCAAGGCGACGAUCUGUAGCGGGUCUGAGAGGAUGAUCCGCCACACUGGGACUGAGACACGGCCCAGACUCCUACGGGAGGCAGCAGUGGGGAAUAUUGGACAAUGGGCGCAAGCCUGAUCCAGCCAUGCCGCGUGUGUGAAGAAGGCCUUAUGGUUGUAAAGCACUUUAAGCGAGGAGGAGGCUACUUUAGUUAAUACCUAGAGAUAGUGGACGUUACUCGCAGAAUAAGCACCGGCUAACUCUGUGCCAGCAGCCGCGGUAAUACAGAGGGUGCAAGCGUUAAUCGGAUUUACUGGGCGUAAAGCGCGCGUAGGCGGCUAAUUAAGUCAAAUGUGAAAUCCCCGAGCUUAACUUGGGAAUUGCAUUCGAUACUGGUUAGCUAGAGUGUGGGAGAGGAUGGUAGAAUUCCAGGUGUAGCGGUGAAAUGCGUAGAGAUCUGGAGGAAUACCGAUGGCGAAGGCAGCCAUCUGGCCUAACACUGACGCUGAGGUGCGAAAGCAUGGGGAGCAAACAGGAUUAGAUACCCUGGUAGUCCAUGCCGUAAACGAUGUCUACUAGCCGUUGGGGCCUUUGAGGCUUUAGUGGCGCAGCUAACGCGAUAAGUAGACCGCCUGGGGAGUACGGUCGCAAGACUAAAACUCAAAUGAAUUGACGGGGGCCCGCACAAGCGGUGGAGCAUGUGGUUUAAUUCGAUGCAACGCGAAGAACCUUACCUGGCCUUGACAUAGUAAGAACUUUCCAGAGAUGGAUUGGUGCCUUCGGGAACUUACAUACAGGUGCUGCAUGGCUGUCGUCAGCUCGUGUCGUGAGAUGUUGGGUUAAGUCCCGCAACGAGCGCAACCCUUUUCCUUAUUUGCCAGCGAGUAAUGUCGGGAACUUUAAGGAUACUGCCAGUGACAAACUGGAGAAAGGCGGGGACGACGUCAAGUCAUCAUGGCCCUUACGGCCAGGGCUACACACGUGCUACAAUGGUCGGUACAAAGGGUUGCUACCUAGCGAUAGGAUGCUAAUCUCAAAAAGCCGAUCGUAGUCCGGAUUGGAGUCUGCAACUCGACUCCAUGAAGUCNGAAUCGCUAGUAAUCGCGGAUCAGAAUGCCGCGGUGAAUACUUUCCCGGG
rnacentral:rRNA from 1 species